CCGCUUUCUCCACUGGCUUCCAGUUGAAGCUCGCAUCCGCUACAAGACCAUGGUGAUUGCCUACGGAGCUGUGAGGGGAACGGCACCUCCAUACCUUCAGGCUCUGAUCAGGCCCUACACCCAAACAAGGGCACUGCGUUCAUCCACCUCUGGCCUGCUGGCCCCCCUACCUCUGAGGAAGCACAGUUCCCGCUCAGCCCAGUCAAAACUGUUCGCUGCUGUGGCACCCCAAUGGUGGAACAAGCUCCCUCACGACGCCAGGACAGCGGAGUCAGUCACCACCUUCCGGAGACACCUGAAACCCCACCUCUUUAAGGAAUACCUAGGAUAGGAUAAAGUAAUCCUUCUAACCCCCCCCUUAAAAGAUUUAGAUGCACUAUUGUAAAGUGGUUGUUCCACUGGAUAUCAUAAGGUGAAUGCACCAAUUUGUAAGUCGCUCUGGAUAAGAGCAUCUGCUAAAUGACUUAAAUGUAAUGUAAAUGUAAUUUUCUGGGGUACACGGAAAAGGUGCAAAUUAAAAGCGAGGGUCGACAUCUGCCUGAGAUCAGUUUCAUGAAGAAGGAUGAAAAGGUGAAGGCAUUCAAUACCACCUGGUAUCAAAAGUAUAGCUGGUUAACAGGGAGCCUUUCAUCAAGCCGCCUGUAUUGCGGCCUUGCAUGCGUUUUUGGGCAUGCAAGAAUUUGCUUUUAGAGGACAUGAGGAGAUGGAAAGUUCCGCCGACAAGGGCAACUACAAGGAGCUUCUAGAGCUAAGUCCCUCUCCUGUUCCCUGAUUAAGAGGUGAUGACUACUCCACUCCACUACCUUUGUCAACUUUCUCCUGACAUGAACUGAAGCCACGUCUCAUUCAAAUCCUGUCCUGCACUGGUCAAGUCUCUGAACACCUAAACUCAUGCCUCAUACCCUCAUUCAAUCACUGCUGUGAUCCCUUUCCCACACGGUGGAGACAAGAAUAUUGGGAAGGAUUUAGACCUUCACUGUCUCUGGUCCACACUCCAGUCCCGUUGGUGGCAGUAAUCACCUUAAAGUUGGUUGCCAAACCCAUAUAAAAUCCACAGAAGAAGAAUGCAUCGGUGGACUCUAAUCAAGUUGAAGAAACAUCUCAGGGAUGAUCAAUGGAUACAGGACGUACCAGAGCUCAAUUUCGAGUCUCAUAGCAAGGGGUCUGAAUACUUAUGUAAUUAAGAUGUGUUACAGCCGUGUGAAUAGCGGUGGAAAUGGCAUCUUCCAUGGAUCUGUUGGAGUGGUAGGCAAAUUGGAGUGGGUCAAGUCUGACUGGCAUGCUAGCCUUGAUGUGGGACAUGACCAGCCUCUCGAAGCACUUCAUGAUGACCGAUGUGAGCGCGAUGGGCCGACAGUCAUUUGGACAUGUCACCUUCUUUUUCUUGGGCACUAGGACGAUGGUGGUCUCCUUUAAAGCAGGUGGGGACUACUGCCUGGUACAUGGGCAGGUUGAAGAUGUCCAAGAAGAUGCCCACCAGCUGGUCAGCACACACUCUGAGGACGGGACCAGGGCUGUCAUCUGAGCCGGCAGCUUUGUGAGUAUGCACCCUUGAGAGUUUUCCUCACGUCAGCCUCGGAGAGCGAAAGCACCUGGGGCCGGUUGCACCAGUUGGUCGUAAGUGGGUCAUAACUUUAAUAAAAAUUAUGCCUGCACCACCUGGGCGUAAGCCCGCCUAUGAGCUACGCCUGGGCGUACAUUCUACACCUAGUAGAGAGCAGGCGUAGGGUUUUAAAUUGGAACUAUCUUCAUCAUGAUACGCACAGAAAAAAAAACAAUGUGCUUUUUUUUAAAAGGAUAGGAGUCUGGUGUUCAUAUUUCACAACCUCCGCAGGCUUUUGAGUCAAUAGCAAAAUAAUACAUUAUGGCAUGCUAAAUGUGUCUGAUCAGUGAGUGGUAGAUUAGCAAACUAAUAGAUCUCCGGCUACCCGGAUUAAGCACUAAAUAAACUUCAGUUAGUGCUAAACACGGCUGCUGGAAUCUUGACUAGAUCCAAAGAAUUUGAUCUUAUUACUCCAGUGCUAGCCUCUAUACACUGGCUUCCUGUUAAGGCUAGAGCUGAUUUCAAGGUUUUACUGUUAACCUAACAAAACAGUACAUGGGCUUGCUCCUACCUAUCUCUUAGAUUUGGUCCUGCCGUACAUACCUACACAUACGCUAUGGUCACAAGACACAGGCCUCCUUGUCCCUAGAAUUUCUAAGCAAACAGCUGGAGGCAGGGCUUUCUCCUAUAGAGCAACAUUUUUAUGGGAUGGUCUGCCUCAUGUGAGUGACGCAGACUCAGUCUCGACCUUUAAGUCUUUACUGAAGACUCAUCUCUUCAGUAGGUCCUAUGAUUGAGUGUAGUCUGGCCCAGGGGUGCGAAGGUGAACGGCAAGGCACUGGAGUGACGAACCGCCCUUGCUGUGUCUGCCUGGCCGGCUCCCCUUUCUCAACUGGGAUUCUCUGCCUCUGACCAUAUUACGGAGGCUGAGUCACUGGCUUACUAGUGUACCCCGACCCACCCCUGUCUGAGCCUCCAGUAUCUAUGCUGCAAUAGUCUAUGUGCCAGGGGGGCUAGGGUCAGUCUGUUAUACCUGGUGUAAUUCUCUUGUCUUAUCUGGUGUCCUGUGUGUAUUUAAGUAUGCUCCCUCUAAUUCUCUCCCUCCCUUCCUGGAGGACCUGAGCCCUAGGGUCAUGCCUCAGGACUACCUGGCCUGAUGACUUCUGGCUGUCCUCAGUCCACCUGGUCGUGCUGCUGCUCCAGUUUCAACGUUUCUGCCUGCGGCUAUGGAACCCUGCCCUGUUCACUGGAUGUGCUACCUUGUCCCAGACCUGCUGUUUUCGUCUCUCUCUUUCUCUCUCUCUAACACACCUGCUGUCUCGAACUCUGAAUGCUCGGCUAUGAAAAGCCAACUGACAUUUACUCCUGAAGUACUGACCUGUUGCACCCUCUACAACCACUGUGAUUAUUAUUUGACCCUGCUGGUCAUCUAUGAACGUUUGAACAUCUUGAAGAACAAUCUGGCCUAAAUGGCCAUGUACUCCUAUAAUCUCCACUCGGCACAGCCAGAAGUGCUGGCCACCCCUCAGAGCCUGGUUCCUCUCUAGGUUUCUUCCUAGGUUCCUGCCUUUCUAGUGAGUUUUUCCUAGCCAGUGUGCUUCUACAUCUGCAUUGCUUGCUGUUUGGGGUUUUAGGCUGGGUUUCUGUAUAGCACUUUGUGACAUCUGCUGAUGUAAAAAAGGUUUUAUAAAUACAUUUGAUUGAUUCAUAGAUUAUCUACCACCAGCCUAAUUGUAACCAAAUAUCCAAACAGAGAUUCAGUGAAAACAAAAAUCUGACAUUGAUUGAUUUAUCUAGAGGAGUCCCCACCCUAGUCUCAAAGCCAAAUAAAAUGGUACUGAAAUUAUAGUCGAUAACACACGGCUAUUGCUUUAAAUGAUUUAAAAUGGUUGGAUGACUGGGAGUUUCAGUAAGCAACAAUUUGAUACAUGACUUCAAUGGUAUUAGCUUACUUUAUUCCAAUAUUAUGGUCAUUCAGUGAUAUUAAUUCCCACAGUAAUUAUUUAUUGAUCCAUCCAGUUGCGGUUAAGAAAACGUGCAUGCAUAGUGGUGGGCUUUGCCAAGUGAUGGGUGGAUGAAUCUUUUAACACAUUUCAAUCAGUAUUCUCGAAACAAUCCUACAGCAUUGAGUCUGCCUCCUCUGUCCAGCUCCUCACUAUUCUCUGUGUUGGUGUCUCCCUCUUGAGUUGCUGGUUGUAGGCGGGGAGUAGGUACAGAAAGACCUGAUCUGAUUGGCCAAAAUGGGAGGUGGGGGAAGGCAUUACACAUGUCACAAUGUUUGUCUAUACAUGGUCAAGCACUCUAGAUCAUCUUGUGGAGCAGGAUACAUGUUGGUGAUAUUAUCUGAUACAUUUUUUUUAGACAGGCUUUGUUAAAGUCACCCGCGACAAUAAAGAUUUCUUCCGGGGGAGAGGGGGCGGAGCUGUUGUAGGAGGAAUCAUGGAACAAGAACAGGAAUAUUGGGACACAGAAACGUGGAUUUCUGAGGAGGAAUGGAGGUGGAAAAAAAGGAAGAAGAGGUUGAAGAGAAUGAGGAAAGCAGAGGUUGGAUUUGAAUCUGAGGAAGAUGGCGAUAAAAAUGGAGCUGGGGUGUUGAAGAAGAUUGAUGUGAAGUGCAAACAGAGUGAGCUGUGAGCCAGACCGAGUUCUGGGGGGGAAACGGAAGUGAAUGAGGGACGAGUUAAGUGAGGUGGAAGGUGUGGUGAAUAGCUUGGAACCCGAGUCAUGUUAGGAUAUAUCAGUUAUCCUGUUAGAACUUUUGUACCAAAUCUACUGCAUUGUUUUAGGUGCAACGUUUAUGGUCAUGUCGCAACAGUGUGUAGGAGGGAGAUUCCAAGAUGUGGGAAGAGUGCAGAAUGACAUGGGACAGAGGAGUGUGUAGUUUCGGUGGAUAAAGUUGUGUGUCAACUGUAGGGGUGCCCAUGUUGCUGGGGAUCGGAAGUGUCCAGUGCGAGAGAGGCAGGUUGAAGUGGCCAUAGUCAGAGUAAUGCAGUGCAGAAGGUGUCGUAUGCUGAGGCUGUGAAGAAAGUUGAGGAGGAUGGAUCAAGAGUGAGGGAUCCCAAGAGGAUUCCAGUGAGUAGUAGAUUUGGGCCAGCCUAGGGGGAUAGGCCAACGAGUGAUUUAUGCUUCAAUAAGGUUGGCUUGGCAUCAUAGCAAUGGUUAUCAACUGUACUGCAGAAAUGGAAUGUAAAUCACAGAAAAAUAGAUGUUGUGGUGGCUGCUGCAGAGAAGUAUUUGGGUAUAUGAGAUGUGACUUCAGAGUUACAGGAUGUGUUGAGUGGUGGCUGUUUUAUUUGUGUUUAAAGAAAAGCGGGAGACUUUUAAUUUCAUGUUUUAAGUAUCCCUAUAUUUCUGUUGUUACGGGGCUAUCACUCUGUUUAUAGUGCGCCUGCGCAGCAGUCUUGUUGUUGAUUAACCUGGCCUGAGUGCAAUGGCAACCAUGUAGUGUGCUAAUACGGUUUAGUAAACGUUGUUAAACUGGAACCUUGUCGUUGUGUCAUUUCGAGUUAACAGUGGCUUCUCAUCCUCCCAGGCCAUUGGCAUGGUGCAGGAGCAGAUAGGGUCAAAGUAGUGUAAUCAGGUAGUGGGUUUAUAUUGAGUGUAGGUGGCAGCUGCAGAGAAGUACCUGGGUACCUGGGAGAUUUUAUUGCAGAAUAGUUAUGAUUUUUUUCUAUUUUUAUUUUAAAGUGGUAAAUAGGUGUAGGUUUGGUUGAUGCAAUAAUAUUUUUUUUGUAUCACAAAUGUAACGUGAUUGAACACGCUACCACAUAGUAGGUGGGGGCAUGCACAAACAAAAUGUGCGAGCGCCAUGAUACCAAAGAAGAAGAAGCAAAUUCUUGCUGGCUAAUAUUGUACACUUUGCUGAGUGCCACCUUGGUGUUUGCUAGUGGUUUUAUGUACACAGCUGCGAUGAUAAUAACGUAAGUGAAUUCCCUCAGUAUAUAGUGGGUUUAGCAUUUUAGCGUCAGGAACUCCAGGUUGGGUGAACAGAAGCUUGCUAUGUUUUGAACGUCGGUACAUCAGGAAUUGUUUAUGAGGAAACAUUACCCCUCCACCCAACUCUUACCAAAAGCCGCUGUUAGAUCCAUUUGGAAUAUGGUGAAGCCGUCAGGUUGAAUAGCAGAGUCGAACAUAUCACUUGCCAAUGUCCAAUCUCUAGACAACAAAGUGAACAAAAUUAGGGCACGUGUUGCCUUCCAGAGAGACAUCAGAGAUUGUAACAUUCUCUGUUUCAUGGAAACAUGGCUCACUCCGGAUAUGUUGUCAGAGUUGGUACAGCCACCUGGUUUCUUCAUGCUUUGCGCCGACAGAAACAAACAUCUCUCUGGUAAGAAGGGCGGGGGUGUAUGCCUUAUGAUUAAUGACUUGUGGUGUAAUCAUAACAACAUACAGGAACUCAAGUCCUUUUGUUCACCUGACCUAGAAUUCCUUACAAUCAAAUGCUGACCGCAUUAUCUUCCUAGAGAAUUCUCUUCGAUUAUAGUCACACCCAUGUAUACCCCCCCCCCCCAAAGCAGAUACUGUGACGGCCCUGAAAGAUCUUCACUGGACUCUAUGUAAACUGGAAACCAUAAACUGGAAACCAUAACCAUGUAUAUUGUAGCUGGGGAUUUUAACAAAGCUAAUCUGAGAACAAUUCUUCCUAAAUUCUAUCAGCAUAUCGAAUGCGCGACACAAUUUGGUAGCACUCUGGAUCACUGCUACUCUAACUUCCAAGAUGCGUACAAAGCCCUCCCCCGUCCUCUGUUCGGCAAAUCUGAUCAUGACUCCAUUUUAUUGCGCCUCUGCUACAGGCAAAAACUAAAACAGGAAACGCCGUGCUCAGGUCCAUCCAACGCUGGUCUGACCAAUCGGAUCCACGCUUCAAGAUUGCUUCGAUCACGUGGACUGGGAUAUGUUCCGCAUAGCCUCGGACAAUAAUAUUGAUGUAUACGCUGACUCUGUGAGCGAGUUUAUUAGCAAGUGCAUCGGAGAUGUGGUGCACACUGUGACUAUUAAAACGUUUCCUAACCAGAAACUGUGGAUUGAUGGCAGCAUUCGCUCUAAACUGAAAGCACGAACUACCGCUUUUAAACAUGGCAAGGCGACCGGAAACAUGACCGAAUACAAACAGUGUAGCUAUUCCCUCCGCAAGGCAAUCAAACAAGCAAAGCGUCAGUAUAGAGACAAAGUAGAGUCACAAUUCAACGGCUCAAACACGAGACGUAUGUGGCAAGGUCUACAGUCAAUCACGGAUUACAAAAAUAAUAAACAGCCCCGCCAUGGACACCGACGUCUUGCUCCCAGACAAAUUAAACAACUUCUUUGCUCGCUUUGAGGACAAUACAGUGCCACUGACACGGCCCACUACCAAAGCCUGUGGGCUCUCCUUCUAUGUGACCAACAUGAGUAAAACAUUUAAACGUGUUAACCCUUGCCAGGCCGACGGACCAGAUGGCAUCCUUAGCCGCGUCCUCAGAGCAUGCGCAGACCAGCUGGCUGGUGUGUUUACGGACAUAUUCAACCAAUCCCUAUCCCAGUCUACUGCCCCACAUGCUUCAAGAUGGCCACCAUUGUUCCUGUUCCCAAGAAAGCUAUGGUAACUGAUCUAAAUGACUAUCGCCCCGUAGCACUCACUUCUGUCAUCAUGAAGUGCUUUGAGAGACUAGUCAUGGAUCAUAUCACCUCCACCCUACCUGAUACCCUAGACCCACUCCAAUUAGCUUACCGCCCCAAUAGGUCCACUGACGAUGCAAUCGCCAUCACACUGCACACUGCCCUAUCUCAUCUGGACAAGAGGAAUAUCUAUGUAAGAAGGCUGUUCAUUGACUACAGCUCAGCAUUUAACACCAUAGUACCCUCCAAACUCAUCAUUAAGCUCGAGAACCUGGGUCUCGACCCCGCCCUGUGCAACUGGGUCAUGGACCUUCUGACGGGCCGCCCUCAGGUGCUGAAGGAGGGAAACAACAUCUCAACCCCGCUGAUCAUCAACACUGGGGCCCCACAAGGGUGCGUUCUCAGCCCUCUCCUGUACUCCCUGUUCACCCAUGACUGUGUGGUCAUGCACUCUUCCAACUCAAUCAUCAAGUUUGCAGAUGACACCACAGUGGUAGGCUUAAUUACCAACAACGACGAGACGGCCUACAGGGAGGAGGUGAGGGCCCUCGGAGUGUGGUGUCAGGAAAAUAACCUCUCACUCAACAUCAACAAAACAAAGGAGAUGAUCUUGGACUUCAGGAAACAGCAUAGGGAGCACCCCCACCCUGUCCACAUCGACGUGACAGUAGUGGAGAAGGUGGAAAGUUUUAAGUUCCUCGGCGUACACAUCACGGACAAAUUGAAAUGGUCCACCCAUGACAGCGUGGUGAGGAGGCUGGAGGCUGAAGAAAUUUGGGUUGUCAUCUAAAUCACUCACAAACUUUUACAGAUGCACGAUCGAGAGCAUCCUGUCGGGCUGUAUCACCGCCUGGUACGGCAACUGCACCACCCUUAACCGCAGACUCUCCAGAGGGUAGUGCGGUCUGCAUAACGCAUCACCGGGGGCGAACCACCUGCCCUCCAGGACAACAACCACCCAAGUCACUGCCUGUUCACCCCACUAUCAUCCAGAAGGCGAGGUCGGUACAGGUGCAUCAAAGCUGGGACCGAAAGACUGAAAAACAGCUUCUAUCUCAAGGCCAUCAGACUGUAAAACAGCCAUCACUAACACAGUGAGGCUGCUGCCUACAUACAGACUUGAAAUCAUUGGCCACUUUAACAAAUGGAUCACUAGUCACUUUAAUAAUGGCACUUUAAUAAUGUUUACAUGUCUUGCAUUACUCAUCUCAUAUGUAUAUACUGUAUUUUAUACCAUCUGUUGCAUCUUGCCUAUGCCGCUCAGUCAUUGCUCAUCCAUAUAUUUGUAUGUUUAUUUUCUUAUUCCAUUCCUUUACUUCGAUUUGUAAGUAUUAGGUAGUUGUUGUGGAAUUGUUAGAUUACUUGUUAGAUAUUGCUGCACUUUCGGAAGUAGAAGCGCAAGCAUUUCUCUUCACUCGCAAUAACAUCUGUUAACCAUGUGUAUGUGACCAAUAAAAUAACACUUGAUUUGAUUAGAUUUUUUUAAUGAUAUUUUUGCUGACCAGCUAGGUUUCCAUCCAAUUGGCGAUAGAUUUUCAUGGAAAUAUUCUAAAAUCCGCAUGUUUCCAUCCGAUUGAAUUGUUGAGGAUUAAUGGCCAUCUGUGAUGACGUAGUACACAUAUAAAGAACUUCUGCGGUUACAUUUCCAUGUACUGAAAAAAAAAAUAUGGGUUUCCAUCGCAUUUUCAACUCUACUGGUUUUGUCACAAUAACAGCUUGCCGAUACAGUGCAGGAAUAGCCUACUACACUACUACAUGAUGCAAUUAUUAUGGACAAAAUCAUUUUUAUUUGUCAAACCGCAGCUAAGCGGUUUAAAUUUUUUUUAUUUCACCUUUAUUUAACCAGGUAGGCUAGUUGAGAACAAGUUCUCAUUUACAACUGCGACCUGGCCAAGAUAAAGCAAAGCAGUUCGAUACAUACAACAACACAGAGUUACACAUGGAAUAAACAAACAUACAGUCAAUAAUACAGUAGAAAAAAGUCUAUAUACAUUGUGUGCAAAUGAGGUAAGAUAAGGGAGGUAAGGCAAUAAAUAAGCCAUGGUGGCGAAGUAAUUACAAUAUAGCAAUUAAACACUGGAAUGGUAGAUGUGCAGAAGAGGAAUGUGCAAGUAGAGAUACUGGGGUGCAAAGGAGCAAGAUAAAUAAAUAAAUAAAUACAGUAUGGGGAUGAAGUAGAUGGAUGGGUUAUUUACAGAUGGGCUAUGUACAGGUGCAGUGAUCUGUGAGCUGCUCUGACAGCUGGUGCUUAAAGCUAGUGAGGGAGAUAUGUGUCUCCAGCUUCAGUGAUUUUUGCAGUUCGUUCCAGUCAUUGGCAGCAGAGAACUGGAAGGAAAGGCGGCCAAAGGAGGAAUUGGCUUUGGGGGUGACCAGUGAGAUAUACCUGCUGUAGCGCGUGCUAUGGGUGGGUGCUGCUAUGGUGACCAGUGAGCUGAGAUAAGUCGGGGCUUUACCUAGCAAAGACUUGUAGAUGACCUGGAGCCAGUGGGUUUGACGACGAGUAUGAAGCGAGGACCAGCCAACGAGAGCGUACAGGUCGCAGUGGUGGGUAGUAUAUGGGACUUGGUGACAAAACGGAUGGCACUGUGAUAGACUGCAUCCAAUUUGUUGAGUAGAGUGUUGGAGGCUAUUUUAUAAAUGACAUCACCGAAGUCGAGGAUCGGUAGGAUGGUCAGUUUUACGAGGGUAUGUUUGGCAGCAUGAGUGAAAGAGGCUUUGUUGCGAAAUAGGAAGCAGAUUCUAGAUUUCAUUUUGGAUUGGAGAUGUUUAAUGUGAGUCUGGAAGGAGAGUUUACAGUCUAACCAGACACCUAGGUAUUUGUAGUUGUCCACAUAUUCUAAGUCAGAACCGUCUAGAGUAGUGAGGCUGGACGGGCGGGCAGGUGCGAGCAGCGAUCGGUUGAAGAGCAUGCAUUUAGUUUUACUUGCAUUUAAGAGCAGUUGGGGGCCACGGAAGGAGAGAUGUAUGGCAUUGAAGCUCGUCUGGAGGUUAGUUAACACAGUGUCCAAAGAAGGGCCAGAAGUAUACAGAAUGGUGUCGUCUGCGUAGAGGUGGAUCAGAGAAUCACCAGCAGCAAGAGCGACAUCAUUGAUGUAUACAGAGAAGAGAGUCAGCCCAAGAAUUGAACCCUGUGGCACACCCAUAGAGACUGCCAGAGGUCUGGACAACAGGCCCUCCGAUUUGACACACUGAACUCUAUCAGAGAAGUAGUUGGUGAACUAGGUGAGGCAAUCAUUUGAGAAACCAAGGCUGUUGAGUCUGCCGAUAAGAAUGUGGUGAUUGACAGAGUCGAAAGCCUUGGCCAGGUCGAUGAAUACGGCUGCACAGUAUUGUCUCUUAUUGAUGGUGGUUAUGAUAUCGUUUCGGACUUUGAGCAUGGCUGAGGUGCACCCAGCUCUGAAACCAGAAAUGGUCGGUAAUCUGUUUGUUAACUUGGCUUUCGAAGACCUUAGAAAGGCAGGGUAGGAUAGAUAUAGAUCUGUAGGAGUUUGGGUCUAGAGUGUCUGCCCCUUUGAAGAUGUCACCAGAAUAAGACCAUCAAUAUUUUUUGGAAAGGAGCAUCAAGCUCAUCACCAUCCUUUGAAGUUAAUUAUAACUUAUUUCAUCUGAAGCCUAAUUUACAUUUUAGUCAUUUAGCAGACACUCUUAUCCAGAGCAACUUACAGUAGUGAAUGCAUACAUUUCAUACAUUCAUGCAUUUCUUUUUAUUUUUUGCACUGGCCCCCCGUGGGAAUCGAACCCACAACCCUGGCGUUGCAAACACCAUGCUCUACCAACUGAGCCACUGCAUACUUUCCCGAUUGUGGGAGGACCACACAACACAUCAUUGCGUGACUCACAAGUUUACCUCAGAGGGUUGUACUAAGUUCUGCAGGUGUUCCACAAGUGUGUUACUAACCAGGUUUCCAUCCAACCUUUUUAUGCAAGUAAUGUACAUGUAGGAUAAAAAAAAUUCACGACAGGCUUGAUGGAAACAGCUAAUUUGUUGAUAAACUUUCGAAAGGUUGACAAAACAAAAUAUGCUAGACCAGGUGGGAUCUUUUUGUGUCUGUAAAAUGUAUUAUGCGUGAACUGACGGUGGAAACGCCUUUAUUCGCAAAUAUUGAUAUACAGUAAUAAUCAUCAUAUUGAAGUAGUCGAGAGACCUUGACCUCUUGGAAAAUGCACAAAAGCUAGAGAGCAGGAUCUGGUCUCUUACCACUAGUUUAUAUAACAGCAUCAAAAAGACAAAGGACUUCACCAUUCACCGGAAGAGGUCAGACAUGCAGAGCAGAAUGUCCAGCCAUACACCCACAGAGCACUCGAACGUCUUGGGACUGAGGAGUACCUUUGUUUGACAAGCCAGGACUUGAGGCAAGCUAGUAAGAGUGUGCCUGUCCUGCCCAGUUUGAACCAUGAAGUGGCGCUACACAGGUGUUAGCAAGAGUUCAAAACUUCUGAAACAGACGAGGCUCUUCUGACCAAUAGUGCCAAAGGCCAUUUCAACAAUCUUGACCUCAUGUGAGGACGAGAUAUCAAAUUAAUUACAAUCUGAUGUGUUCCUUGAGGUCAACGUGUUUGUAGGUGGUGUUUGGUUUCAGCUGAAGAACAUCUCCUUGUCAAGAUCCCCAACAAACACGUGAUUUUAGUUACUCUGCUCCGUGGUCCUGGAAUUCUCUCCUGAACAUUAAGAAAUGUGAUGAUCUAGUCACGUUGGUGGAGUUUAAUGUUGUGUUAGUGUAUGUAAGUCGUUUGGUCUGAAUCGUUGUUCCCCCUGCUGCUAUUGGAGCAGGUCUCUCUUGAAAAAGAGAUAUCUCAAUGAGAAAAAACCUGUAUUAAUUAAGGUAAAAAAAAAAAAAUACUUGUUUAUCUACUGUACAUCCACCACCUCUACUGAUAUUACACAAACCAUGGUGAAAGACCUGCAGGAGCUCACCCAGAACAUCCAAUCAUCUGACAUGGUGUCUGGCACCUUCCAGCUCACCACUGGACAGAUUUCUGAGAAAAGGAUCUGGUCUGUUGCUUGUAACAUCUAUCACAGUCCGCAAUUUAAGAUGGAGUUCCUCAGAAAAUAUCUGCAAAUCCAAAUCUUUAUAAAGCAGUUCUGCAUCACAAAGAGCUAGUCUCGGCCAUCUUGGGGUCAACCGGAGCAGUGUUAUACCUUACGCAAAAGAUAACUGUGUGGACAUUCUGCAUUAAUUAUUACCUAAGAUCAAGUCCUCUGAAAAGAUCUGAACAACCUGGAGGAUAUUGGCAUUUGUCCAUUGUAGGAGUGCUGACAGUCAAAAUAAACUAAAGCCCUCUUCUUCAGGCUCCUCCAUCUCUCCCACACCUACUUCAAAAUCAAGACAGUCAGAAUGGGACUUUGCCUUACCUGGUACUCCCAUCCCCACUGAGUUGCCUGCUCAGAGUGACUGCCCAAUUGUAAGAAACUUGAUCAUUUCAGGACUUGUUUCACACAGAGGACUUGCUUCCCGCACCUUUUUCAGACAAAGGCAAGCUGCUGGGGUGGGAGAAGACAAGAUGGUGGAAAACACACAGGAAGAUGGACCGGUUGCUUCUCAACCUGACGACCUCCAAUCCACAGUUAGAAAAUUGAGAAGAAGAAUUUCCACUAGGACCAUUCACAUUUUCAGAUAGGAUAAGAUAGCCACAGGUCCUCCUUCCUUUGACACCGCCUGAUGUACUGGGCCGUCCGCACCACCCUCUGUAGCACUUUGCAGUCGAGGGCGGUGCAGUUGCCAUACCAAGCGGUGAUGCAGCCAGUCAAAAUGGUCUCAAUGUUGUAGCUGUAGAUGCCAAAAAGAGCAAGGCCAGGUUAAGAUUUCUUGUGAAGUUUCCCAAGAUCAGCUUGAACCCAAAAGCCAUAAUGCAUGUAAAUCUUUCAGAAAUAAUACUUAUUUAAUUCAGUCUUCUUAGUAUUGCUUUUUUGCAAUUAAUACUGAACAAAAAAAUAAACGCAACAUGUAAAGUGUUUCAUGACCCAAUUUUCAUGAGCUGAAAUAAAAUAUUUUUCAUAUGCACAAAAAGCUUUUUUCGCUCAAAUUUCCAGCUAGGCAGGACAUUAUUUGGGAUGUACUGGACCGUCCGCACCACCCUCUGUAGGGCUUUGCGGUCGAGGGCAGUGCAGUUGCCAUACCAAGCAGUGUUGCAGCCAUUCAAGAUGAUCUCAAUGGUACAGCUGUAUAACUUUGAGGAUCUGAGGGCCCAUGCCAAAUCUUUUCAGCCUCCUGAGGGGGAAGAGGUACCCUCGUGCCCUCUUCACGACUGUACGAGUUUGUGUGGACCAUGUAAAGUUCUUAGUGACAGCCCAGUCAAUGUGGAUGGGGGUGUGCUCACCCCCCGUUCCCUGUAGUUCACGCUCUUACUAAUGUUGAGGGAUUGUUGUCCUGGCACCACACUGCCAGGUUAUGUGCCUUUUCCCACCAACCAGGGUUUCAAGAAAGUUGACAAAGACCUCUCUCUUCAAGAGUCCAUAGAGAGCCUCUGAACACUUCCGUGAAUGUGUACUUUACAGGUAAGUCCUACUGUUGCUUUGGCUGCUGCUCAGUCAAGACUAAGAUAUUAUCCUUUAAUCAGUUCAUUCAGAAAGACUUUGUACUUACCUCUGAACUGCUACAUAUGACAUACUGUACUCACCCAUACUAGAAUCUCUUUAUUUGCAGAGUCAAUGAAGCAUUCUCAGCUCCUUGGCUCCAGAGGGAGAGGGUUCAAAUCAAAUUAUUUUCCUCAUUAAAUGACAUCGCAUUUAUUUGUUGCCAUUCAUUUGCAUUUUACUUGGGGAUUGUGUGGUCACAUUACCACAACCUGUGAAAUAAUUUAAGCAGAUGAGAAUUUGUAAAAUGAUGCAUCUGUUCUGCUGAAAAAUUGAAAUAAAUAAAGUGAAUGUGCACAACUGUG
rnacentral:lncRNA from 1 species